rnacentral:rRNA from 1 species
GACGAACGCUGGCGGCGUGCCUAAUACAUGCAAGUCGAGCGGACGAAUCGAAAGCUUGCUUUUGAUUCGUUAGCGGCGGACGGGUGAGUAACACGUGGGCAACCUGCCCUGUAGACGGGGAUAACACCGAGAAAUCGGUGCUAAUACCGGAUAACACGAAAUGUCGCAUGACGUUUCGUUGAAAGACGGCGCAAGCUGCCGCUACGGGAUGGGCCCGCGGCGCAUUAGCUAGUUGGUGAGGUAACGGCUCACCAAGGCGACGAUACGUAGCCGACCUGAGAGGGUGAUCGGCCACACUGGGACUGAGACACGGCCCAGACUCCUACGGGAGGCAGCAGUAGGGAAUCUUCCGCAAUGGACGAAAGUCUGACGGAGCAACGCCGCGUGAGCGAAGAAGGCCUUCGGGUCGUAAAGCUCUGUUGUUAGGGAAGAACAAGUAACGCAGUAACUGGCGUUACCGUGACGGUACCUAACGAGAAAGCCACGGCUAACUACGUG